GAUGAACGCUAGCGGCAGGCCUAACACAUGCAAGUCGAGGGGCAGCACAGAAACAGCAAUGUUUUGGUGGCGACCGGCGGACGGGUGCGUAACGCGUAUGCAACCUACCUUUAACAGGGGGAUAACGGAGAGAAAUUUCCACUAAUACCCCAUAACAUCGAUCAAGGCAUCUUGAUUGGUUGAAAACUCCGGUGGUUGAAGAUGGGCAUGCGUUGUAUUAGGUAGUUGGUGAGGUAAUGGCUCACCAAGCCUACGAUACAUAGGGGGACUGAGAGGUUAGCCCCCCACACUGGUACUGAGACACGGACCAGACUCCUACGGGAGGCAGCAGUGAGGAAUAUUGGUCAAUGGGGGCAACCCUGAACCAGCCAUGCCGCGUGCAGGAAGACAGCUCUAUGAGUUGUAAACUGCUUUUAAACAGGGAUAAAGCACAGUAUGUAUACUGUGUUGAAGGUACUGUAAGAAUAAGGAUCGGCUAACUCCGUGCCAGCCGCCGCCGUAA
rnacentral:rRNA from 1 species